GGGGCUGUGGCUCAGUGGCUACAGCGUCUGCACUGCGUGCCAAAGGCCCCGGGUUCAAUCCCCGCUGGCAGCAUCU